rnacentral:rRNA from 1 species
UGGCGGACGGGUGGAGUAACGCGUGGGCGAACCUGCCCUGUACAGGGGGACGAACACUUAGAAAUAAGGUGCUAAUACCGCAUAACGGGGAGGCCGCAUGGCACCCCCCUCGAAAACUACCGGUGGUACAGGAUGGGCCCGCGUCUGAUUAGCUGGUUGGCAGGGUAACGGCCUACCAAGGCGACGAUCAGUAGCCGGACUGAGAGGUUGGCCGGCCACAUUGGGACUGAGAUACGGCCCAGACUCCUACGGAAGGCAGCAG